UUUGCAGUAUUGUGGCAGUGCCCAAAAUGUGCUAGGGUUCUGUCUGUAGGAAGAGGCCGUCCCUGCCUCAGAGAGCUUACAAUUGAAACAGAUGAAAAAACAGGCCCAGCGUGGCAGAGAAGGAUGCCGUGAACUAGUGUUUGCAGUAGAAAAUUUCAUCACUAGUUAAAUGAGCCAGGAAAGAACCUCUCAAGCCCCAAACACUCAACAAACCUGGUGGUUGUGGCGUUGUAUGACUUCCAGAAAGACAGUGGGUCUAUCCUGAACGGGUUUAGUGAAGAUCUGAAGCAGAUUUCAGCUUCUCUCGCAGUUGCUGGUAGUAAGUGGCUGGAACCCUGAUAAACUCCAUGCCCCGUUGUUUCAGUUGGCGACCACAAUGGAACGCAGGGCACUGAACUGUGUGUGCAGUUGUUUAUCAUCCACAGACCAGAACCGAUGAAACAAAAGGUUCUUCUGGUACCUGACCGGGAACAGAAAAGGCUGAUUUCAUUCCCCCUUAAACCAACUCAUAGCUUCUGAGAACUGUGGACUUCAGCGCUGGGCAUGAGCCGUUGAAUGCCUGCAGAUUCACAGGACAACACAUCCUUUCCACCACGUCAUCUCACCUCUUGAAAUUAAUGGGCAGUGCAUCAUCUUCUGGCUGAGCUGAAUUGGACCCACUCAAAAUAACUUUCAUUUACACUCACUCUGCCUUUCACUGCUGUAACUGUGCUAACUUCAGGCUUCCUGCAUGACUUCAGGCAACUCCCUUAGUGUUUGUCUACACAGUGCAGCAGAGCAUGCCAGAGGGGUGUGAUUUGUAAAGCGCACUAAAGUGUUGCACUCUAC